rnacentral:rRNA from 1 species
AUUGAACGCUGGCGGAAUGCUUUACACAUGCAAGUCGAACGGCAGCACGGACUUCGGUCUGGUGGCGAGUGGCGAACGGGUGAGUAAUGUAUCGGAACGUGCCCAGUCGUGGGGGAUAACGUAGUGAAAGUUACGCUAAUACCGCAUACGAUCUAUGGAUGAAAGCGGGGGAUCGCAAGACCUCGCGCGAUUGGAGCGGCCGAUAUCAGAUUAGGUAGUUGGUGGGGUAAAGGCCCACCAAGCCAACGAUCUGUAGCUGGUCUGAGAGGACGACCAGCCACACUGGAACUGAGACACGGUCCAGACUCCUACGGGAGGCAGCAGUGGGGAAUUUUGGACAAUGGGCGAAAGCCUGAUCCAGCCAUUCCGCGUGCAGGAUGAAGGCGCUCGGGUUGUAAACUGCUUUUGUACAGAACGAAAAGGUUUCUACUAAUACUAGGAGCUCAUGACGGUACUGUAAGAAUAAGCACCGGCUAACUACGUGCCAGCCGCCGCAGUAA